GACGUAGGGCGCGAGCGUUGUCCGGAUUUAUUGGGCGUAAAGGGCGCGUAGGCGGCCUGCUAAGUCGAACGUGAAAUCCCCGAGCUCAACUCGGGAACUGCGUCCGAUACUGGCAGGCUUGAAUCCGGGAGAGGGAUGCGGAAUUCCAGGUGUAGCGGUGAAAUGCGUAGAUAUCUGGAGGAACACCGGUGGCGAAGGCGGCAUCCUGGACCGGCAUUGACGCUGAGGCGCGAAAGCCAGGGGAGCAAACGGG
rnacentral:rRNA from 1 species